GUGGAUUAGAUACCCUGGUAGUCCUAGCCGUAAACGGUGCACGUUUGCUGUAAAAGGAAUCGACCCCUUUUGUGGCGUAGCCAACGCGUUAAACGUGCCGCCUGGGAAGUACGGUCGCAAGAUUAAAACUCAAAGAAAUUGACGGGGGCCUGCACAAGCGGUGGAGUAUGUGGCUCAAUUCGAUGCAACGCGAAGAACCUUACCUGGCCUUGACAUGCAAGUAGUAGAAGGGUGAAAGCCUAACGAGGUAGCAAUACCAGCUUGCACAGGUGCUGCACGGCCGUCGCCAGCU
rnacentral:rRNA from 1 species